GAAAUAUAGCACAAAGGCCAAAUGGAUGGUGCUUUAUUAUACUGAGUAUGGCAAAAAUCUCUUUUUUAGGUGAACAAUAGCACUGGAUUAUAACUCUGCACAGGUCUCAUGAUUCACGCUGAAACUCUGACACUAAUGACUGCAUUACUGCGGAUGGUGUGGGUGUUUCAGAACGGCUCCUGCUUUCAAUCGGUGUCUGAGGAUGCUGGAGACGCUGUGGGAGGGUGAAACUUUGGACUGCUUGUAAUUAUGACAAAUAAAAAGAGAGAAAAAGUUUUCAAAUAUGUCUCUCUUUAACCCUCUCCAACUUUCUAGUCUUUCUGUAUUUUUUCAUUUGAUCCACAUUACUUAAUUUCUUUCUCCAGGCAUAGCACAGACUCUGUCACGACAAACCUCCAGUGCAAAUAAAGUCAAAAUUACAUCAGGCAACAUUUCUACAAAUGCAACACACCUAAAAGAUAGAAACCUCUAAGGACAGAGGUGUUUUCAACCCAUAUUACGUUCCAAAAGAUCCACAAUCCUGAGGCAUUGUGGCAAUCAUUACAACAUCAGCCUCAGCCUUCCUUUGAAUACACAUAAUCAGUUCUGCGGAAUGAUCAAAAGCAGAAACAUGAAAGAAUUUCACAUUUUAUGAAAGCAAAGAUUAAA
ensembl:lncRNA